rnacentral:rRNA from 1 species
GAUGAACGCUGGCGGCGUGCCUAAUACAUGCAAGUCGAGCGAACAGACGAGGAGCUUACUCCUCUGACGUUAGCGGCGGACGGGUGAGUAACACGUGGAUAACCUACCUAUAAGACUGGGAUAACUUCGGGAAACCGGAGCUAAUACCGGAUAAUAUAUUGAACCGCAUGGUUCAAUAGUGAAAGACGGUUUUGCUGUCACUUAUAGAUGAAUCCGCGCCGCAUUAGCUAGUUGGUAAGGUAACGGCUUACCAAGGCAACGAUGCGUAGCCGACCUGAGAGGGUGAUCGGCCACACUGGAACUGAGACACGGUCCAGACUCCUACGGGAGGCAGCAGUAGGGAAUCUUCCGCAAUGGGCGAAAGCCUGACGGAGCAACGCCGCGUGAGUGAUGAAGGUCUUCGGAUCGUAAAACUCUGUUAUUAGGGAAGAACAAAUGUGUAAGUAACUAUGCACGUCUUGACGGUACCUAAUCAGAAAGCCACGGCUAACUACGUG